UUGAUCUGUCAAAAACAAACAAAACAUCCCAUAAUCAAUCUCAACCCCUCAUAUGCAAUCUCAACAUUUACUCAUAAUAUACUAAUUUUCACGUACGUCCAGUGUAUAAUGCCUUGUAAUCCCAAAUGCAGGAUCAGGAAGAAGAAGAACACAAGAGAGAACAGAAAAAAGAAGCCAAACCGCCAUUUCUUUUAUAUCCUUAGGAUAUUUAAGCGAGCUUGGACCUUGAGGCGUUGAUUAAAAGCUGGUGGGAACUUUUUAAGAAGACUAACCGAUGUUGGAGUUAGUCAAAACAUUCGUACGCUAAAAUUGCUUGGAGAAUAAGCAAAGAUAGGGAGAUUGUAGCUAUCAGGGAAGGUCACGACGAGGGUUAGAUAUCAAAUCCAUGAAGGCUAUUGUCAACAUGUCGUUGUUUACAAAAACAUUGAGAAAUCUCAAACUAAGGUUCGCAAUUUUAUUUCCCAAGCAAGUGACCUAACUUCUUUUUAAGUUCGUAUCCUCAAAGGCAUGCCACUUAUACAUGGUUCGCUAUACACAAAUGAUAUUAAUAUUUUUAAGGAAUUUUAUCCAAUAAUAAUAA